AUGAACGCUAGCGGGAGGCCUAACACAUGCAAGCCGAGCGGUAGAGAUUCUUCGGGAUCUUGAGAGCGGCGUACGGGUGCGGAACACGUGUGCAACCUGCCUUUAUCUGGGGGAUAGCCUUUCGAAAGGAAGAUUAAUACCCCAUAAUAUAAGAGACGGCAUCGUUUUUUAUUGAAAACUCCGGUGGAUAGAGAUGGGCACGCGCAAGAUUAGAUAGUUGGUGAGGUAACGGCUCACCAAGUCUACGAUCUUUAGGGGGCCUGAGAGGGUGAUCCCCCACACUGGUACUGAGACACGGACCAGACUCCUACGGGAGGCAGCAGUGAGGAAUAUUGGACAAUGGGUGAGAGCCUGAUCCAGCCAUCCCGCGUGAAGGACGACGGCCCUAUGGGUUGUAAACUUCUUUUGUAUAGGGAUAAACCUACCCUCGUGAGGGUAGCUGAAGGUACUAUACGAAUAAGCACCGGCUAACUCCGUGCCAGCAGCCGCCGUAA
rnacentral:rRNA from 1 species